rnacentral:rRNA from 1 species
GAUGAACGCUAGCGGCAGGCUUAACACAUGCAAGUCGAGGGGUAUAGUUCUUCGGAACUAGAGACCGGCGCACGGGUGCGUAACGCGUAUGCAAUCUACCUUUUGCAGAGGGAUAGCCCAGAGAAAUUUGGAUUAAUACCUCAUGGUAUGUGUGAAUGGCAUCAUUUUCACAUUAAAGUCACAACGGCAAAAGAUGAGCAUGCGUCCCAUUAGCUUGUUGGUAAGGUAAAGGCUUACCAAGGCAACGAUGGGUAGGGGUCCUGAGAGGGAGAUCCCCCACACUGGUAGUGAGACACGGACCAGACUCCUACGGGAGGCAGCAGUGAGGAAUAUUGGACAAUGGGCGCAAGCCUGAUCCAGCCAUGCCGCGUGCAGGAUGACGGUCCUAUGGAUUGUAAACUGCUUUUGUACAGGAAGAAACACUGGUUCGUGAACCAGCUUGACGGUACUGUAAGAAUAAGGAUCGGCUAACUCCGUGCCAGCCGCCGCAGUAACAC